rnacentral:rRNA from 1 species
AAAGCAGGUCAUAGUGAUCCGGUGGUUCUGAAUGGAAGGGCCAUCGCUCAACGGAUAAAAGGUACUCCGGGGAUAACAGGCUGAUACCGCCCAAGAGUUCAUAUCGACGGCGGUGUUUGGCACCUCGAUGUCGGCUCAUCACAUCCUGGGGCUGAAGUAGGUCCCAAGGGUAUGGCUGUUCGCCAUUUAAAGUGGUACGCGAGCUGGGUUUAGAACGUCGUGAGACAGUUCGGUCCCUAUCUGCCGUGGGCGCUGGAGAACUGAGGGGGGCUGCUCCUAGUACGAGAGGACCGGAGUGGACGCAUCACUGGUGUUCGGGUUGUCAUGCCAAUGGCACUGCCCGGUAGCUAAAUGCGGAAGAGAUAAGUGCUGAAAGCAUCUAAGCACGAAACUUGCCCCGAG